rnacentral:rRNA from 1 species
AGUGAACGCUGGCGGUAUGCCUAACACAUGCAAGUCGAACGGCAGCACAGUAAGAGCUUGCUCUUACGGGUGGCGGGUGGCGGACGGGUGAGGAAUACAUCGGAAUCUACUUUUUCGUGGGGGAUAACGUAGGGAAACUUACGCUAAUACCGCAUACGACCUACGGGUGAAAGCAGGGGAUCUUUGGACCUUGCGCGUUUGAAUGAGCCGAUGUCGGAUUAGCUAGUUGGGGGGGUAAAGGCCCACCAAGGCGACGAUCCGUAGCUGGUCUGAGAGGAUGAUCAGCCACACUGGAACUGAGACACGGUCCAGACUCCUACGGGAGGCAGCAGUGGGGAAUAUUGGACAAUGGGCGCAAGCCUGAUCCAGCCAUACCGCGUGGGUGAAGAAGGCCUUCGGGUUGUAAAGCCCUUUUGUUGGGAAAGAAAAGCAGCAGGUUAAUACCCCGCUGUUCUGACGGUACCCAAAGAAUAAGCACCGGCUAACUUCGUG